rnacentral:rRNA from 1 species
GACGAACGCUGGCGGCGUGCCUAAUACAUGCAAGUAGAACGCUGAAGCUUGGUGCUUGCACCGAGCGGCUGAGUUGCGAACGGGUGAGUAACGCGUAGGUAACCUUCCUGGUAGCGGGGGAUAACUAUUGGAAACGAUAGCUAAUACCGCAUAAGAGUAGCUGUUGCAUGACAUUUGCUUAAAAGGUGCAAUUGCAUCACUACCAGAUGGAUCUGCGUUUUAUUAGCUAGUUGGUGAGGUAACCGCUCAACAAGGGAACGAUACCUAGCCUAGCUGAGAGGGUGAGCGGCCACACUGGGAACGAGACAAAGCCCAGACUUCUAAGGGAGGCAGCAGUAGGGAAACGUCGGCAAUGGACGGAAGGCUGACCGAGCCAAGCCGCGUGAGGGAAGAAGGGUUUCGGAUCGGAAAGCUCUGUUGUAAGAGAAGAAAGAGUGUGAGAGUGGAAAGUUCACACUGUGACGGUAUCUUACCAGAAAGGGACGGCUAACUACGUG